GAUGAACGCUGGCGGCGCGCCUAACACAUGCAAGUCGAACGGCACCCCUCCUCGGAGGGAAGCGAGUGGCGACCGGCUGAGUAACACGUGGAGAACCUGCCCCCUCCCCCGGGAUAGCCGCCCGAAAGGACGGGUAAUACCGGAUACCCCGGGGUGCCGCAUGGCACCCCGGCUAAAGCCCCGACGGGAGGGGAUGGCUCCGCGGCCCAUCAGGUAGACGGCGGGGUGACGGCCCACCGUGCCGACAACGGGUAGCCGGGUUGAGAGACCGACCGGCCAGAUUGGGACUGAGACACGGCCCAGACUCCUACGGGAGGCAGCAGUGGGGAAUCUUGCGCAAUGGGGGGAACCCUGACGCAGCGACGCCGCGUGCGGGACGGAGGCCUUCGGGUCGUAAACCGCUUUCAGCAGGGAAGAGUCAAGACUGUACCUGCAGAAGAAGCCCCGGCUAACUACGUG
rnacentral:rRNA from 1 species